rnacentral:pre_miRNA from 1 species
GUUGAGGGGAAUUUCGGCUGGUUCGAGAUCUUUCGUUUGGAAUAUAGAUUGUGUAUCAUCGGAAUGAUCUCGGACCAGGCUUCAUUCCCCCUAAC